rnacentral:rRNA from 1 species
UACGGAGGUGGCGAGCGUUGUCCGAAGUUACUGGGCGUAAAGCGCGCGGUAGGCGGGCUCUUAAGUGAGAAGUGAAAGGCUGGGGCUCAACUCCAUGCAGUGCUUCUCAUACUGGGGUCUUGAGGGCGGUAGAGAGAAGUGGAAUGGCUGGUGUAGCGGUGAAAUGCGUAGAUAAUCAGUCGGAACACCGGUGACGAAGGCGGCUUCUUGGGCCGUUUCUGACGCUGAGGCGCGAAAGCCAGGGGAGCGAACGGG